CUACGGGAGGCAGCAGUGGGGAAUCUUAGACAAUGGGCGCAAGCCUGAUCUAGCCAUGCCGCGUGAGUGAUGAAGGCCCUAGGGUCGUAAAGCUCUUUCGCCAGGGAUGAUAAUGACAGUACCUGGUAAAGAAACCCCGGCUAACUCCGUGCCAGCAGCCGCGGUAAUACGGAGGGGGUUAGCGUUGUUCGGAAUUACUGGGCGUAAAGCGCGCGUAGGCGGACCAGAAAGUUGGGGGUGAAAUCCCGGGGCUCAACCCCGGAACGGCCUCCAAAACUCCUGGUCUUGAGUUCGAGAGAGGUGAGUGGAAUUCCGAGUGUAGAGGUGAAAUUCGUAGAUAUUCGGAGGAACACCAGUGGCGAAGGCGGCUCACUGGCUCGAUACUGACGCUGAGGUGCGAAAGUGUGGGGAGCAAACAGGAUUAGAUACCCUGGUAGUCCAUACCGUAAACGAUGAAUGCCAGUCGUCGGGUAGCAUGCUGCUCGGUGACACACCUAACGGAUUAAGCAUUCCGCCUGGGGAGUACGGUCGCAAGAUUAAAACUCAAAGGAAUUGACGGA
rnacentral:rRNA from 1 species